CUGGAAUGAGGAAGCUUAGCCAAAUCAGACAUUGAUGUGCUCCAUAGGGAUGGAUGGUUACACUUGACAUCCUUUUGUUGAAGCGCAUCUCUCUGAUGAUAAAACAGAGAUGGGUUACUAGCUGACCAGA